UUAUUCCCUACCCCUGAAAGCUCCGCAGGCGUAUCGCUGUGCAUCCCCGGGCUGCACCGCUGCCAUGCCUCCCCUCUGAUGAACGGCCGCGGGGGCACGGCGCGGCGCUCGGCUGUUAGACGGGCAGACAGGAGAAAUAUAUUUGAUGGCUCCAGGACAGCUGCACUGCUGGAAUCAGAGCAGGACUCUGAGAAGGUACAUGCAAAGUUCAUCUUGAAUGGCAAGAGCAUCAUCUGAGCCACAAGCCUUCUUUUUCCACCCUUCCUCUGAUCACCUUCCAAAGAGACUCUCAAAUUCCUUACCCUUCCACUGCCACCUAAGAUUAAUCCUGCAGCCUAAACCACUUCCCUGAUAAGUCACAUCUCUGCCUUUCUUAAGACACCACAUGUUGCAGGAGCCAAUCUCUUAAAAAAAUCCCAACCAUAUAGGAGAAAUAUCCUUCCUGAAAUUGUGCACAAGUAAAGAUGGGGCAGAAGCUGGAAUCCAGACCAGCAUUUAGGCACUUUUCCAUUCUUGGC
rnacentral:lncRNA from 1 species